AUGAAAAGAUUGAAGAACGAGGUAGAAGAUACUGAGUUGUUCAGAUGUUUACAGGAAAUCCAUGGGAAAAACUACCACAGCUUUGUAUUAAGCAAGCAGGUUCCAGUCGUUGGUAAUUUCAGGGAAGCCUACAUUGGCAUUGCUCCUGAGUUAGCCAAAGAGAUCGCGGAAGAAGUGGAUGUUAUCGUAAACUCUGCAGCAAAUACCACUUUUGAUGAGAGGUUCGUGAAGCUAUACUAG
rnacentral:rRNA from 1 species